CAAUAACGUAUAUUUAAGUUGUUGCGGUUAACAAGCUCGUAGUUGGAUUUCGGGUGAGGAUGACCCGUCUGCCGUUGCGGUACGCACUGGACGUUUUCAUCUUGUUGUCGGGGACGCGCCUCAGGGCUUCACUGUUCUGGACGCGGAGUCGGCGCUGUUACUUGGAAAAAUUUGAGUGUUCAAAGCAGGCAAUCGCUCUGAAUACAUUAGCACGGAAUAACACUAUAGGACUCUUGUCCCCUUGUGUUGGUCUUCGGGAACGGAGUAAUGAUUAAGAGGAACAGUUGGGGGCAUUCGUAUUUCAUUGUCAGAGGUGAAAUUCUUGGAUUUAUGAAAGACGAACUUCUGCGAAAGCAUUUGCCAAGGAUGUUUUCAUUAAUCAAGAACGAAAGUUGGGGGCUCGAAGAUGAUCAGAUACCA
rnacentral:rRNA from 1 species